AGCAAGACUCUGGAGGGAUUCAGAUGUGCUCUGUACAUCCCAGAGAAGCUCCAGUGGUACAUGAGCUCUUUCCAAUGUAGCACUAAAUGAUUCACAUCUCUCCUGUUGCUCAUUGAAUCUCCAGGGGAAGAUGUGAGUGCAAGGAGUGGCUUGUUCUGGUGGCUCUCUCUAAAAAAUAUGUAUUUAAUUAUCUUGUAGGAGGCAAGAUUGAAAAAACAGUCUCACUGCUCUGGGACCAGAAAUGAGUGGAAUUUAUCAAGGAUUCCAGGUCCUGGGAUCCUGUUCCUUUUGCAUUAUGAGAUCAGCUUUGAGAAGACUCUGCUGUCUCCUACCCAGUCAAGCUCCUCCAUUACUGUGACCACCAGCUGUGCUGUGCCAGGAGAGAAGCUGCUGGCUUUUGCUUUCACCCCUGGCUCUUUCUGCUGCCCUUUGCUGCCACAGUGAAAAGUGUGUCCAUAACUUCUGUUAGCCUUUUGAGGAAGCUUUUACUGGGCAGAGGGACGCUGAACAGUGAGUGACUCUACUGAGUUUGAGAGAUAUCCAUCUUCAGGCUCUGAAGUCAACUCUUCAGAAGUAAAGGCUGGUACCUGCUGCAGUCCUGUGUGCCUGCCUGCCUUUUGAACUCCUUCAAAGACAUCAUUGUACUUUGUCAGGAAAAUGAAGAGGGAGAUCCCUGUGUAAUCUCCACCAACACCUUUCAUUUCCCGAGAUAAAGCCAUGUAAAUGUCCAUGGAAGAGUCAAAAUUUAGGAAAGAAUUUGAGUUUCUAAUACCAUUCUCUGCAUGCACAUUGUCAGAACUCAUCCAUGAACAAUGAAAGAAACACGGCUGCUUUCCUUCAAGUGUUUUUCUCUUAAGUUAUUACUUUCAGUUGUUCUGUAAGGUCAACCAGCCAUUUUGUUCCAAAUAUUUGGCUAGGUAAUAAUUCCAAGAAAAUUGUA